GUAGGUGGCAAGCGUUGUCCGGAAUUAUUGGGCGUAAAGCGCGCGCAGGUGGUUCUUUAAGUCUGAUGUGAAAGCCCCCGGGCUCAACCGGGGGAGGGUCAUUGGAAACUGGGGAACUUGAGUGCAGGAGAGGAAAGUGGAAUUCCACGUGUAGCGGUGAAAUGCGUAGAUAUGUGGAGGAACACCAGUGGCGAAGGCGACUUCCUGGCCUGUAACUGACACUGAGGCGCGAAAGCGUGGGGAGCAAACAGGAUUAGAUACCCUGGUAGUCCACGCCGUAAACGAUGAGUGCUAAGUGUUGGGGGGUUUCCGCCCCUCAGUGCUGCAGCUAACGCAUUAAGCACUCCGCCUGGGGAGUACGGUCGCAAAGACUGA
rnacentral:rRNA from 1 species